UGGCAGCUCUUAUUCUCUAUUAUUAUCGAUAGUAUCGAUAGUAUCGAUACAGAUCCAUUUCGAGAAUCGCAAUUUCGUCUCGAACCCCUGCCAGUCGUGAAGGCGCCGAGGCAGCGAUUUGAAUCGCUCCGUAUUUCUCGCGAUCGGAGCCGCGUUAAAAGUGAAUCUCGCGCGCUAAAAGUCGUCUCUCGCGAAAGUGUCGGACGUUUCUCGCGCGGGAUCAAUCGAGUACCGAGUGUCAGCGGCGUAAUGCAGUAAUAUAGCGCAUCGCGAGUUGGAUGUGAACGGGAGCCGGUAGAAUCCUUCCUCGCCAUUACCGUUUUUUUCGCCAAGUGCAACGAAAAUCGCAGUAAAAGUGAAUCUCGCGCGCGAAAAUCGUCUCUCCGCGAAAUGUUGGGUAUUUUGUCGCAAGGAAUUAAAUCGAGUGUCAGUGAUAUAUAGUGCAACAGUGUAUAUAGUGCAUCACGAUUUGGAUAUACAAUAUAUCAUCGAGCACCGACAGGAUUUUCCUUCCACCAUCUUCUCGUCUUUUCCUCAAGUGCGAAAAUUGAUUCAUCGAUCGUCCUCGGUGGCAGUGCGAUUCACGCGUCGUAUCGGGAGUGCCGUGUAAAGUUUCGCGCGUCGGGAGUGCCGUGUAAAGUUUCGGGCGAUCGUAAUUAUUCGUAUUUUCGCGAGUGUCGUGAGUGCUACGAAGGACCAAGAGAGGAGGAGGAGGCCCGGGGAGGCAUCGGGCGACAGCGAGGCAAUUGUGAGAUCAACGUGCUGUGCACUACAACUCCGCAUCGCGUGUAUUGAUGUCAUUCGACAUGCACGAGGAAGCGACACUGUCCACAUUCCCACGAGCGACUUCCACGGAACGUGAAUGUAUUACAACUCUGCUAUUGCGCACGUACUGGU